CAGAUCGCUUUACUAUGUUCACACGUACUUGACUUCACAGGUUUGUUUUGGACGCGAUGUCGCGCUGCUGGCUCGCCGCCGCUAUCCUCGUCGCUCCAUAAUGUUCUUAAGCUUACGAGAUAGCCAUACCGAUUCACUCCUAGUCAUGUAAACACCGACUCAAGGUUUCGCUUGCCAGUUCCCAGGGUAUAGGAUUUUCUUCUAGUGGCGAAAUAACCUAAAGUAUUUUCAAGAAAUGAGCACCCCGCAAAGAUCACUCUGUGGAUGCUCUGUGGAUAAAACAAGCUGAAUUAAUUUACUUACAAACCGUAAAUCUCCUGCAUACAUACGAAGCUGCAGUGAAUUUCAUUAUCCUCACAAGUGCACAGAUAUAUAUCAGUAACCGAUAAAUCAAAAAUGACAGUGAAAAUAAAUAUUGUAAAUUUGCCUUCAACAAUUAUUUAUAUAAGAUAUAUUAUGUGUUCGAGACAAUAUUGGUCUGUAUAAACAGAGCAUAACAAUAAUUACAACGGGUAUGUUUCAAUAUUUAAUAAGACAUAAUAUCACGCUCAAUUUUUCAAUGAA